rnacentral:rRNA from 1 species
UACAGAGGUCUCAAGCGUUGUUCGGAUUCAUUGGGCGUAAAGGGUGCGUAGGCGGCGCGGUAAGUCGGGGUGUGAAAUCUCGGGGCUUAACUCCGAAACUGCAUUCGAUACUGCGGUGCUUGAGGACUGGAGAGGAGACUGGAAUUCAUGGUGUAGCAGUCGAAAUGCGUAGAGAUCAUGAGGAAGACCAGUGGCGAAGGCGGGUCUCUGGACAGUUCCUGACACUGAGACACGAAGGCCAGGGGAGCAAACGGG